rnacentral:sRNA from 1 species
UGGUGGCGGUGGUACAGGGGAUUGAUCUCAGGACCUUGCGCUUUCGAGGCAGGUGGCGGGACCACUGAGCUAAAUCCCUGGCCCCUGAUG